CAACGCGCGCAGUAGCCGGAACAUCUUAAUUGACUUCCGUGGCGAGAUUACCAAGAGGUUUAGGGGUCUGCGGGUAGAGUUUUGCGGGGAUAAUCGAAUUAACCAGGGUUGUCUCCACACAGGAAUAUGGGGAUCGACUCCAAGCCAGGACAGUGGAAGAAUGCGCACAAUCGGAGUUGCUAAAAACAGCAAGCAAUCACCUAGACCUCCUCUUCCAUCUGUACGGGGCCAAACUGGUGCUUGAAGAACACUGAGGUCAACAAGCCAUGCGUUUCUUACAAUAAGAAUUUUCUCUUUCUUUCGUUUUUUUCUUUAACACGGAUCGGGAAAUAUAAAAAUCGUCACCGGGAGAUAGUCAAAAAUGAAUAGGCAAAUUUGAUAUGGUUGAGCAGACUCUUAGCUAAAGACAAGACCUCGCUUUUCCCCAGGUCAGUUAGCAAUGAUAAGCUAAGAGAUUUAGGCUCCAUACAGUUUUUGUUUUGUUUUCUGAAUUUACACGAUGAACAGGAUAAGGAGCAAGAUGAAGGAAAUAUUUGUAAAGACCGCCACGAGAGAACAACACCCCGAAUCUCCAGCAGAACUCGAAGACACUUAACUAGUUACUACGUUGGAAAAUGAAAGAAGACGAAACGUUGCCUACGAGUUCACGACGGAGAGAAGUAGAUAUACGCGAAGAGAGAGAGAGAGAGAGAGAGAGACCUGAGAGGGAGAGAGGAAGAAGGCGGGAGGGGCUUGAUGGGGCUCCAGAUCUGAGAGACGACUCGCUUGCCGAUUCCCGCGACCCCAGAACUCCUCGAGCUGGCGGCCA